rnacentral:misc_RNA from 1 species
CUCAGAUGCAUGUUCAAGAAGGGUUUGCGUUUGGCCACCGGCGGGCGAGCCCGCCGAGGCAACGUUUUAAUGGUACACAGAAGGGUUUUGAGUUUGCAACUCGGUAAUGAUCCCUCCGCUGGUUCACCAACGGAGACCUUGUUACGACUUUUACUUCCUCUAAAUGACCAAGA